rnacentral:rRNA from 1 species
UCCGUAGGUGAACCUGCGGAAGGAUCAUUGUCGUAACCUGCCAAGGCAGAACAACGCGCGAACCAUUGAUUAAAACUCGGCAAUGGCAGUGAGUGCAGCGUGCUCCUCCGGGGGUUCCGCUGUUCCUCAUUGUGCAGGCAAUGAGUGCAGCGUGCUCGGUUUCGUCGUUCCUCAUCGUGCAGCCAGUGAGUGCAGCGUGCUCCCUUGGGGGUUCCGUUGUUCCUCAUCGUGCAGCCAGUGAGUGCAGCGUGCUUUCCCGAGAGUUCCGUUGUUCCUCAUUGUGCAACCAGCGAGUGCUACGUGCACCCCCGGGUGUUCCGUUGUUCCUCAUCGGGCUGUUGCCAUGCCUGUCGUUGGGGCCUUGUGCCCUGGCUCCAGGCUUAACCAAACCCCCGGCACGAGUUGUGCCAAGGAACACAAAUGAAAUGCUUGGGGGGUGCUUCACCCCCUUAUAAGUAUUAAAACAAAACGACUCUUGACAACGGAUAUCUAGGCUCUUGCAUCGAUGAAGAACGUAGCGAAAUGCGAUACUUGGUGUGAAUUGCAGAAUCCCGUGAACCAUCGAGUUUUUGAACGCAAGUUGCGCCCGAAGCCUUCUGGCCGAGGGCACGCCUGCCUGGGCGUCAUAAUUCGUCACCCCUCCCACCAUGCCCUUGGGCUGACUGGGUCGGGGUGGAAUCUGGCUUCCCGCGUCCCCUAGGCGCGGCUGGCCGAAAUUUGGACGCACCAAGGCAUUGCCUGUAGCGGCCUAGGUGGAUCGAAAGGCCCUCUAAGUUUGCCGUGCAGUGCAGUGUCAUCGGUGCCCAUGGCCCCUCUCGUGUUUCCCUUUGUUGGAAAAUACUGUCGUGUGACCCCAGGUCAGGCGGGACUACCCGCUGAGUUUAAGCAUAUCAAUAAGCGGAGGA